CCAACAGUGUGACCUUGGUGAG
rnacentral:siRNA from 1 species